CGAAGCGUGCGAUUGGAUUGCACGUCUAAGCAGUAAGGCUGAGUAUUAGGCAAAUCCGGUACUCAUUAAGGCUGAGCUGUGAUGGGGAGAAGACAUUGUGUCUUCGAGUCGUUGAUUUCACACUGCCGAGAAAAGCCUCUAGAUAGAAAAUAGGUGCCCGUACCGCAAACCGACACAGGUAGUCAAGAUGAGAAUUCUAAGGUGAGCGAGCGAACUCUCGUUAAGGAACUCGGCAAAAUGACCCCGUAACUUCGGGAGAAGGGGUGCUCUUUAGGGUUAACGCCCAGAAGAGCCGCAGUGAAUAGGCCCAAGCGACUGUUUAUCAAAAACACAGGUCUCUGCUAAACCGUAAGGUGAUGUAUAGGGGCUGACGCCUGCCCGGUGCUGGAAGGUUAAGAGGAGUGGUUAGCUUCUGCGAAGCUACGAAUCGAAGCCCCAGUAAACGGCGGCCGUAACUAUAACGGUCCUAAGGUAGCGAAAUUCCUUGUCGGGUAAGUUCCGACCCGCACGAAAGGCGUAACGAUUUGGGCACUGUCUCAACGAGAGACUCGGUGAAAUCAUAGUACCUGUGAAGAUGCAGGUUACCCGCGACAGGACGGAAAGACCCCGUGGAGCUUUACUGUAGCCUGAUAUUGAAAUUCGGCACAGCUUGUACAGGAUAGGUAGGAGCCUUUGAAACGUGAGCGCUAGCUUACGUGGAGGCGCUGGUGGGAUACUACCCUAGCUGUGUUGGCUUUCUAACCCGCACCACUUAUCGUGGUGGGAGACAGUGUCAGGCGGGCAGUUUGACUGGGGCGGUCGCCUCCUAAAAGGUAACGGAGGCGCUCAAAGGUUCCCUCAGAAUGGUUGGAAAUCAUUCAUAGAGUGUAAAGGCAUAAGGGAGCUUGACUGCGAGACCUACAAGUCGAGCAGGGUCGAAAGACGGACUUAGUGAUCCGGUGGUUCCGCAUGGAAGGGCCAUCGCUCAACGGAUAAAAGCUACCCCGGGGAUAACAGGCUUAUCUCCCCCAAGAGUUCACAUCGACGGGGAGGUUUGGCACCUCGAUG
rnacentral:rRNA from 1 species